ensembl:lncRNA
AUGUGUGUUUUUUCCCAAAAAGUUGUUCCCCAUUUGGUAACACGGCACAUACUAAGAAGACUAUUGUGCCCUGUUUUCCUCUACAGGCUGGAAGUUUCUCCUAAAGUAGAAAGAGCACCCCCUCCCCUCCCCCCUCGCUCCCCCUUAUCCUCCCAGUUCUCCCCUCCUCCUGCCUCCCCCUCCGGUCAUGUCUCACCUCACGACUGCAAUCACACCAAUCCAUUCACACCCUCCAACUCCCCCUCCUCUACCGCAAUCUCCCCCGCCAACCUUUUCCCUUUGCGUGCGCAGCGCAACCCCUUUUUUGAGGAUCUCAUAGCGGAAGAGUCCCAGAGGUCCCCCCCAUUCGGCUCAUCCCCAUUUCAUUACACCACUCUGCCUUCCCGGCCCUGCGCGUCCAGCCCUGCUCGCGGUGUGAAAGCUACAAACGUGGCUCACAUGAGGCGGGAGCGCCCAAGGCCAGUAGCUAGGCAGAUAUCCCUCCCUGCGAUAUUACCCGAAGCAGCCUCGCCUCGUCCCUCCGCACCUCGCUCCAUGUCAGAGAGCGCAGGAGAGUCGGACGAUUCGUUCGACGCCUUUGCCUCCAGCAGGCUCAACUCCCCUAAAGGGAGACCUCCUCAGACGCAGCCGAGAACCACUCCAACCCCGUCUCACAGACAUAGCUAUCUUCCGGUUGGCAGCGGCACAAAUAAUCCUGCGCAAGAGCUGCAAACGUGCGAAGAGGAGCCUCCGCCUUUGCCUACGCGGAAACUUCUCCGGGCUUCAGUGAACGAGAUUUCCUCUGACGGCUGGCUGCACAGGGGUCAGGAGCUGGCUGUCCAUAAAGAAGCCUACCUGCUCUCGCAGACCGGAGUGGCCUCGCUGCAACGUGGAAGAGAGGGAGAAAACAAGAGAAACGUCGCGUCUCCAGACCCUCACACCGGCAGCGAGGCCUCCGACUCGCUCAGCGCCGCCUCUCAGCCGCACGCGAAGGAGGGAUUCGUGGGCGAAGAGAAGCUCAAAAAGUUUAAAUAUGAACCUUUGGAGGAUGAAACGGACCGCUGGGGAGGGACGUUGUUUGAGCAAGACCUGUAUGGACGCACGUGCAGAGGAAACUACGGACGACCCAAAGUUAAUCGUUUGUCGCUGAGCAGUGAAGAGACAAACACAUCUGUGAACUUAGGACCUAAGAUACUUGUUAAUAGUGAGACAAUUGGAGCAGAUAUUUCAAACAUUCCAUCAACUGCUUCCAUAAAGCCAGAAGCACUUGACAUUACAACCGCUCCUGCAGAGAAGGUGGAGUUCUAUCCCUCUGAAACCACGUGCAUCAACAAUAAUGCGUCUUCCUCAUCAAUGUUAGGAGAUCUGAACAUGAAUGUUAACAACUCAGAUUUUGGUUUCAUUGAUUCGGACGGCUCCUCUCAGUCAGAGGUAGUUGACACUCUCAAAGGCACCAUGAGUUUUGGCGGGACCUUCCCACAACCCACAGAAGCUUCACAGGUAGCUGCUUACCGCGUCGAGGCGGCGACCACACCUCCGGAUGUGUUCACUUUGAAGGACACCUACAUUCCUGAGAUGAACUCUUCCUUUGAAAUAACUGCUUCAUCCAACAAACUGUACCAAUUCUCUCCAGUUUGCAAGGAAUACAGUGAACUGAAUAACGUGGUCCAACGCGGUAAACCCGGGUUGAACAGCAGAGAGAUGGCUGCUUUUUCGGAACAAAGUCAAACCUCUGAUAAAGACGCUGAAACCCGUGAAGUUUUAUCCAGGACUGUAAGGGAUUUUAUUAAGACACAAAAUGACUUUGAUGAUAAUGGAAACACGCAGGCUAAAACAGGACCACUGAACCCAAAGGAGACCUUUCCUGGUGUGGUGAGUGCACGUUUCAGACCAAAAGGAGUGUCCCGACAGAACAGCAGCGGCAGCCCGAGCCACCAAAGCAAGGGUGGAGACAGAGAGCUGGAGCAGUUCCUGUCCCUCGUUCAAAACCUUUCAGGAUCCAGUGAGGGGCCGCUGUCGUACCAGCCCUCCAAAUCAGCUUUCCCUUCCUCAGUGGCACUGGCAGAUAUCCCCACAAAUCCCGACGAUCCCACUGCGACACCACUAGCGUCUUCAAAAGACAACCCAACAGCUUUUGAAGAGCUUCACGCUCAGGUGGCACCGAACCCGAGAACCCCGUCAAAGUCAAAGAUUGGGCAAUCUUUGCAGGAAGCCUCCUCCUUCUCCUCCGUCCCGCGCGCGCUCCCCCUGUCGGCAGACCCGCCGGCUGGGCUCCACCUUACCCCUGUCUGUUGCCCCUCCUCGCACCCCUCGAACACGGGGCCCAGCACCACUCUGGCUGUGGCCCCCUACACCUCUUACUCCACCAGCUCCACCACUGACCGGCCCCCAGUCGAUGCACGGCACUCACUUUCGCCUGAGGAGACUCAGCCCGCCUGCAGCCUGCCCCGUCAGGAGAGCAGGUGA